rnacentral:rRNA from 1 species
GACGAACGCUGGCGGCGUGCUUAACACAUGCAAGUCGAACGCUGAAGACCUGGCUUUUGUUGGGUUGGAUGAGUGGCGAACGGGUGAGUAACACGUGAGUAACCUGCCCUCUUCUUUGGGAUAACGCCCGGAAACGGGUGCUAAUACUGGAUAUUCACUGAUCUUCGCAUGGGGGUUGGUGGAAAGGUUUGUUCUGGUGGGGGAUGGGCUCGCGGCCUAUCAGCUUGUUGGUGGGGUGAUGGCCUACCAAGGCUUUGACGGGUAGCCGGCCUGAGAGGGUGACCGGUCAAAGUGGGAAUGAGAUACGGCCCAGAGUCCUACGGGAGGCAGCAGUGGGGAAUAUUGCACAAUGGGCGAAAGCCUGAUGCAGCGACGCCGCGUGAGGGAUGGAGGCCUUCGGGUUGUAAACCUCUUUCGCUCAUGGUCAAGCCGCAACUGUGGGUUGUGGUGAGGGUAGUGGGUAAAGAAGCGCCGGCUAACUACGUG